ensembl:snoRNA
UGUCCUGAUGAUACUAGUAAUAGGAAGUGUCAUUAGAGGCGGUAACAGACGACGUUUAUGCCUGUCUGACU